UAGAGGGGAAACAAAAGAAAGGGAAUCCCUUACUAAUGAUUCAUUUCCAUUGUUAAACCAAACACUCAAUAAAAGUAAUGGUUAUUGUUACCAUUCCACUCCUUUAUUUGAUUUCAUUCCCUUUCCAUUCCUCUACUUGAACCAAACGAGCACUAAAUUGUAAUUGGAGUUAUGGAUAUGUACUGUUGCUUUCUCUAAGUAUGUAUAUUGUAUCACUCUCAAUCCAGAAAAACACAAAAAGUGUGGCCAAAAUGAAGAAAGGGUUUAUGCUUCAGCAAAAGAGAGGAAAUGUAAGCAGAAUUAGACGCUUACUUGCUGCAAGAAAUGAAUGCUUCACAGAUCACAAUCUCCAAAAAAACCUCACUACUUUCAAGAACAUGUAGUGUCCACCACCUAAGACAAAUAGCAGCAGCAGUCGGAAGUCGAUGCCCUCACAUGAGAUAAGGCAAGAAUUACGUAUGUUAAAAAUGAUAGCAUAAACCAUCUUGCCUCUCUGGGGAUGUGCAAUCUGCAACGACAAAGACGAAUGUACAAACAAUUUUCAGUAUGCAAUCUGCAUAAAUGUGGAAAUGCAAAUCUUCCGAGAAAGAAGGUUAUAACAAUGCUCCCAGAACAUAAUCCAUACAGGCAACCCCUCCUCCUGACUAAUGUAAAACAAUCGAAG
rnacentral:lncRNA from 1 species